rnacentral:lncRNA from 1 species
AUGGCACUGAAGCGUCUCUCAGAUUUUUUAAUAAGAAAGUUGUUCAGGUUGCGGUACACCAUAUGGCCAGAGACCUUCGUGUACUUUGAGAAGAGCUCUACUGUGAGAGAAGUCCGCGCUGAGAUCAUUAAAAGCCUAAAGGAUCGCGUGAGGAUAAAGGAGUCUGAAGAUGAGGAGGAGUGUGAUGUGAGAAUGUACUUCUGCCCCAUUGUUUCCCGCGCGGGAACCGAUAUCAGCGCUGUUCUCUCCAGGGUUAGGGCUGACAAACCCGCCAUCGUAAUAGUGCUGCAACAUACCUUCGACGAGCAAGCAGUUGUACCAAGUUGCAGAGAAUAUGAGAGGGAGAAGCGUGUUUUUGUGACCUUCCUUUUCUCUGAGGACAAGGGACUUCUGGUCUGUCAGAAGAAUACCGAAGACUUUCUAAAAGCAACACAUUUUUUAAAUAGGUGGGCCCCCAAAAGGAUAAACAAACAGGUUUGUAAUUUUUGUUAAUUUUUUGUUUGAUAAAUAGUUAUGAUAUGACCGCUUAACCUAAACACACAUACAAUAACUGUUUCUUGUAUUGCAGGAAAAAGACAGAUUCAGAAGAAGAAUCCUGAUGGCCAUUACCUGUGGAUGCAUUUUGUGGGGAUUGUAUCGUUAUUAUGUACUAUUGCCAAAGGUAUUGGAGUGUGUUUAACAUUGGGUGGUACGCAUUGGCUGAAUUUAAUCAAAUCCCACCCUUCACUCCUUUAAAAAAAAAAAAAACAUUGUGUCCUGUGGUUUUAGUUUUGUCUACUAAAAGCGCUUUUUCCGAUGGUGAUCUUUUAUUAAAAGAACAAGAAAAGAAAAGAAACAAGACAUUAUCCAAAAGUUGGUAACAUUGCAGUAUAUUGUUAUUGUUGCGAUUCACUACUCUCAUCACUGUUUAAAGCCAGUGUUGUGCCAAAUUCAGCACCCCGCCAGAAAAAGCACCCCCUCUUGGGAGCGCACACCUACGUCUUCAUAGCUUUAACUUUACUUAGAAAAUGGAAAUACCCAAGAUACUGUUCUAAGCUACACUAACUCAUAGGAAAUAAUAUAAAAGAAACAACUGCAGCCUCUUCCGAGAGGGGGUGCUUUUCCUGACUAUUGGUUUAGGCCUAAUUUCCGGUCUUGUUUGAAACAACCACUGUAUAUAUAUUUUCCUGUUUAAUUCAUGGUAAACAUACAAUGUCCUGCACAUUCUAACCCUUGUAAUAAGCAACAAGUAACAGCAUAAUUUAGAAUAUUAAAUACUGCUCUUCACUUAGUAAAGCUAAUAGUAAAGUCAUGUAAAAUCAUGUCACUUGAAUGUGUGUUAAAGCAUAGUCUUCAUGUCUUCAGUCUUUUUUAUAAACAUUUAAACACAGAAGUAAAUAAAAAAAAAUUAUAAUGAGUAAAUGUACUGACA